rnacentral:rRNA from 1 species
CCCGGACCAAGGCGCCCGCCGGAGGACCAAAAAAAAAAACUUAUUGUAUACCCCCUCGCGGGUUUUUUUUAUAAUCUGAGCCUUCUCGGCGCCUCUCGUAGGCUUUUCCGAAAAUGAAUCAAAACUUUCAACAACGGAUCUCUUGGUUCUGGCAUCGAUGAAGAACGCAGCGAAAUGCGAUAAGUAAUGUGAAUUGCAGAAUUCAGUGAAUCAUCGAAUCUUUGAACGCACAUUGCGCCCGCCAGUAUUCUGGCGGGCAUGCCUGUCCGAGCGUCAUUUCAACCCUCGAACCCCUCCGGGGGGUCGGCGUUGGGGAUCGGCCCUCCUUUAUUUUUUUGGCCGUCUCCGAAAUACAGUGGUGGUCUGGGCGCAGCCUCUCCUGCGCAGUAGUUUGCACACUCGCAUCGGGAGCGCGGCGCGUCCACAGCCGUUAAACACCCAACUUCUGAAAUGUUGACCUCGGAUCAGGUAGGAAUACCCGCUGAACUUAAGCAUAUCAAUAAGCGGAGAAA